UCACCGGUAACGGGGGUCUAGGUUGGGUUUCCUUCCUUUAGGAUUCCGGCCGUACUUACCCAUUAGUACCCGCCUGGGAGUACGGCCGCAAGGCUUAAUCCAAGAAAUUGACGGGGCCGCCCAAGCGGCGGAGCAUGUGGAUUAAUUCGAUGCAACGCGAAACCUUCCUGGGUUUGACAUGCACAGGACGCCGGCAGAGAUGUCGGUCCCUUGUGCCUGUGUGCAGGUGGUGCAUGGCUGUCGUCAGCUCGUGUCGUGAGAUGUUGGGUUAAGUCCCGCAACGAGCGCAACCCUUGUCUCAUGUUGCCAGCACGUUAUGGUGGGGACUCGUGAGAGACUGCCGGGGUCAACUCGGAGGAAGGUGGGGAUGACGUCAAGUCAUCAUGCCCCUUAUGCCCAGGGCUUCACACAUGCUACAAUGGCCGGUACAAAGGGCUGCGAUCCCGUGAGGGUUAGCGAAUCCUUUAAAGCCGGUCUCAGUUCGGAUUGGGGUCUGCAACUCGACCCCAUGAAGUCGGAGUCGCUAGUAAUCGCAGAUCAGCAACGCUGCGGUGAAUACGUUCCCGGGCCUUGUACACGCCGCCCGUCACGUCAUGAAAGUCGGUAACACCCGAAGCCGGUGGCCUAACCCUUGUGGAGGGAUCUGUUGAAGUUGGGAUCGGCGAGAGAGAAGAAGUCGUAACAUGUUUCUCUGUAGUGGAGUGAGAGAGAGA
rnacentral:rRNA from 1 species